rnacentral:misc_RNA from 1 species
GAUGAAGAACGCAGCGAAAUGCGAUACGUAAUGUGAAUUGCAGAAUUCAGUGAAUCAUCGAGUCUUUGAACGCACAUUGCGCCCCCUGGUAUUCCGGGGGGCAUGCCUGUCCGAGCGUCAUUGCUGCCCUCAAGCACGGCUUGUGUGUUGGGCCUCCGUCCUCCUCCCGGGGGACGGGCCCGAAAGGCAGCGGCGGCACCGCGUCCGGUCCUCGAGCGUAUGGGGCUUCGUCACCCGCUCUUGUAGGCCCGGCCGGCGCUUGCCGACACAUCAAUCUUUUUUCCAGGUUGACCUCGGAUCAGGUAGGGAUACCCGCUGAACUUAAGCAUAUAAUAAGCGGAGGA